GACUGGUGUGCAUAACUGUGAUGACAGCAUUUCUAGCUGAGCCGGGUCAUUUUGUCCUUGGGUCCUCCAGGGAGGACUCGGCCCAAUUGCUAACGCAAAGAACUAGGUGCUAUCACAAAGCCUCCCCCAAGGCCCCAAAUCCACACUAGAAUACAACCUCCUUCCUAGGAGGAGCACAGGCGAGGGAGGGCCGGCUCUAUGGUCCUGCAUGAAGGUACAAGAGGCGAGGGUUGGAGGUGUGUGACUCACACAGGCUGGUCAGAGGCCCCGGAGUUCAGCCUCUGUCGGGUAUUUACCUACCCAUCACCAGCCGCUGACUACGUGCUCACUGUGUACCAGGGACCUGGCCAAGGGCUUCACGUGUAAUCUCAUUUAAUUCUCACAAGAGAUGCAGAGAGGUGACGUGACUCAUCAGGUGACAUGACUCACCAGGUCACCUAGCUGGUAAGGGAUGGAACUGGGUUGUGCAUAGAGGCCUAUCUGUGUCCACAGGCAGGCUCCCAGCCACCACCCUCCAGUUCCGUGGCCCUGCUCUGGGACGUGGGAAGAUAAGAAAGAAGAAGGGUGAGUCGGUAUGGUCGUGGAGAGAUUACAUUUUCAGGAAAUGAGGGCUCAGAACAAGGCCUGGCCUAAACAUGGCUGCAGGAGUGGCAAGAGAUAGGAUCAGAGGGAGGAUGGCCUCAGAGAGUGUGGGGAAGAACUUGUGCCCAGAAGAGUCAGGGCAGGACUGGCUGGGCCCUGACGUAAGGCCUCUUGCUCAGAGUCACAGGCAAGAUCAAGUGACCUCUCGAGGUUUCAAGACACGAAGAGACAAAGCCCAGAGCAGCUGCGGCCUGGUCCAGGCCCGGGCAUGCCUGCUGACCCCGGCUGGAUGGUGGCCUUGGAAACUGCUUCCUGCUUCAGUCAGGCCCUAGCCGCGUAACCUUGGAGGACCUGUGACAUUUCUCUUGGCCUCAGGCUCCAGGACUCAGCUGCUCCUCGUUGUCCCACCUACUGGUCCCACCUACUUUGCUCUCUCCCAGGCCUGGCUGUGGACCUGGCCCCUCCCAGCCUCCAGGAUCUGAGGGAAACAGCUGGCUCCCCUCCUCACCACACCCCGGCGGCCAUUCUCUUGGACCCCUCCCAAGGGUACCACCUAGCCCUGGUCUGUGGACAAAGUCAAAGGGGUACUUCUGUCUGCCUGUCUGCUGUUGGGUCAGUGUGUCUGAGCUUGCCCAUAGGGACACCAGCUGGUUGGGAGGGGGCUGGGGGCCCCAACCUGCUGUGCACAGUGCCGGGAAGCGCCAGCCCACAUCCUUGAGUCCCCAGCCCCACCCUCCCCGGCUGUGGCUGUGACCACCCCACCCCUUCCCCAGCCCUCCUUCCCCUCCCCCACCCACUGCCUCCCCAGGGGAGCCAGGCUGCCAGCCCCAGCUCUCACUUCCGGCCUCAUGACCCUCUCUCCAGCUUGCACACUCCUCCUCCCCCACCAUUUCCCUCCCAGCCUGGUUCGAAGGCCCUGGGAUGUCCUCAAAUGGAAAACACUGCAUCAAAGGGGCCAUUACUGCUGCUCUGAGACCUUCCCAUCACCUCCCUUUUCCUCCAGGGGCCUUAUCUCUCAGGAUCUGUCCCUCAGGGACUAGUCAUCACCUCUGUCCACCUCCUUCCCUUCAGCCGCCUACCUGCCCACACAGUAACACCUGAAUAUCUUCUUUCAACCUGAUCCCAGGCACAAUAUCAUAAUACAAAUAACAAUGAUGGCAAUAAUAAUGGCAGCUGUCACUCAUUUGGCAUCAUUUAAAUAGAGGCACAGAGAGGUUAAGUUAUGCCCUUAAGAACAAACAGCCAUCUCAUUCAAUUAAGCUGGUGUCUGAAUUUAGGUUGGGCUUCUGUAAAUCAAACUUCUUUGGUGUCCAGAGAUUCAGCGCCCUCCCCUGCAGCCUCCUACAACGGUCCUAGUCCCAACCAUCAGUUCUAAUUUUUGACUUCUAAUCUAUCCUCCUCUCAGCUUCUAGUCACCACCUCCCACCAACAGCCAUCCAACUAGAUGCACUACUCUCCCUCGCCACUAGGUGUCCCCUUGGAGCCACUGAUGCCCCCAAGGGGAGCUGGCCCUGCCCCGCCCCCUGGGGCCAUCAGGGCCCCCCCACAGCACAGCACAGCAGUGCACACCCCACCCCACCCUACCCCCAGCCACACAGAGCUCCUUUGUGCAACCCUCGCCCACCCCCUUCCUCCCUGGAACAGGGCACCUGGCAAGCAGGUCUGCCCCAGAACCGCCCCCUGCCAGCCCCCUGCCCUGGGUGCCAGGUGUGUGGGCGCCACCGCCAGCUCUGGCUGGACCCGAGGGUCACCCUGCCGGCGGCCCUCCCUUCCUCCCUCCGAGGUCACCCAGGGACUAAGCUUCCCGCCCUGCUCCGCCCCCCUCCCCUCCUGCCCUUGGCCCUUCCAGACUCCCGUCCUUGUCUUUCCUUCUGUCUCCCGGAGGACUCCCCUCCUCCAGCCCCACUAGGCCUUCCCUGCAGCCUCUCACCCCCGCCCACCUCCUUCCCCAGAGAGCUCCUUGUUCCACGCCCCCCCGCUCCCCGCCCAGGUCUGAAGAACUCCUCCUCCUGGAAAGUUGCUGCUGGAAAGGAAGUGACUUCAGCAAUUUGGCCACAAGGCUGGGCACUGCUGAGCCCAGCUCAGCUCAAGGCUUGCCCAACCCACCUCCAAAGCACAAAUGGAGCCACAUGUGCACAUCACUCCCACUGUGCACCCAGAACCCUGAGCACACACUUAGCCAGUGUACACACAGAUCCCCGUGUGCAUACACCGUACCAUCGCAGUGUAUUCAGAUCUUGUCUAUACACACAUCUCUCCAGUGUACACUAGCACCCUUGCACACAUGACAUCCAGUGUGGCACACACAGUAUCCCCACACCUGCCCAGUACACACCCAGAAUCCUGCAUAUUCAUACUUCCGGGUACCACAUACACAGCCCUUGAACGCUCCCCAGCCCAGUCCACUUACACAACUCUUGUAUAUUACCCCAUGUGCACGGAAGGACAGAGCCUUCCACACACACCUGCUUGCACACAAGCUUGAGUGCCCUGUACAUUUACAUUCGGAUACACACAGCCUCGCAUCCUCCCACAGCUGUACCUCCCCACCCUUACAAUCCCAGGAGACUCCACCCCCAGACCUCAGGCCCCAGGAAUGCUCCUUUGGAAGUAGGGUGGGGUCCCCAGGCAGGCUCAGCUCUAGGGAGCUUCCUGGAGCCGCAGGCUUCAUGUGUCAGUUCAGGGAGUUGCCUCUGCAGGGCAGGGCAGCUUCACCUGGCUCUGCAGCUCCUGAGCCUGGGUGGGCUAACCUGGGCCAGGAGUAGGGAGGUGGGUCCUGCCACUGCCCCCGCCCCCUCCCUGUCCUGCAAGGGCACCUUAGCAUACCUGGGCUACCCAGGCCCUCCCAGCACC
rnacentral:lncRNA from 10 species